GCUCUAGUAACGGCGAGUGAAGCAGCAAUAGCUCAAAUUUGAAAUCUGGCGUCUUCGACGUCCGAGUUGUAAUUUGUAGAGGAUGCUUCUGAGUAACCACCGACCUAAGUUCCUUGGAACAGGACGUCAUAGAGGGUGAGAAUCCCGUAUGCGGUCGGAAAGGUGCUCUAUACGUAGCUCCUUCGACGAGUCGAGUUGUUUGGGAAUGCAGCUCUAAAUGGGAGGUAAAUUUCUUCUAAAGCUAAAUAUUGGCCAGAGACCGAUAGCGCACAAGUAGAGUGAUCGAAAGAUGAAAAGCACUUUGGAAAGAGAGUUAAAAAGCACGUGAAAUUGUUAAAAGGGAAGGGAUUGCAACCAGACUUGCUCGCGGUGUUCCGCCGGUCUUCUGACCGGUCUACUCGCCGCGUUGCAGGCCAGCAUCGUCUGGUGCCGCUGGAUAAGACUUGAGGAAUGUAGCUCCCUCGGGAGUGUUAUAGCCUCUUGUGAUGCAGCGAGCGCCGGGCGAGGUCCGCGCUUCGGCUAGGAUGCUGGCGUAAUGGUCGUAAUCCGCCCGUCUUGAAACACGGACCAAGGAGUCUAACAUCUAUGCGAGUGUUCGGGUGUCAAACCCCUACGCGUAAUGAAAGUGAACGGAGGUGAGAACCCGCAGGUGCAUCAUCGACCGAUCCUGAUGUCUUCGGAUGG
rnacentral:rRNA from 1 species